CGGUAAUUCCAGCUCCAAUAGCGUAUACUAAAGUUGUUGCAGUUAAAAAGCUCGUAGUUGGAUUUCUGCGGGGACGGAGCGGCCGGACGCAACUUGCGUCUCGAGCUAGCGCUUUCCCCACAUCCUGCCGCGAACCGUGCUACCAUUAGCUUGGUGGCGCUGGGGAUCGGCUCGAUUACUUUGAGAAAAAUAGAGUGUUCAAAGCAGGCCACACGCCUUGAAUAAGUUAGCAUGGAAUAAUGACUAAGGACUUCGGUUCUAUUUUGUUGGUGUUCGGGACUGAAGUAAUGAUUGAUAGGGACAGUUGGGGCGGUCUGUAUUCCAAAGCGAGAGGUGAAAUUCUUAGACCUUCGGAAGACAAACAGCUGCGAAAGCGUUCCGCAAGGAUGUUCCCUUUGAUCAAGAACGAAAGUUGGGGGAUCGAAGACGAUCAGAUACCGUCGUAGUCUCAACUAUAAACUAUACCAGCUAGGGAUCGGCCAACGUUUAACUUUAUCGACUUGGUCGGCACCUUAUGAGAAAUCAAAGCAUCUGGGUUCCGGGGGGAGUAUGGUCGCAAGGCUGAAACUUAAAGGAAUUGACGGAAGGGCACCACCAGGCGUGGAGCCUGUGGCUUAAUUUGACUCAACACGGGAAAACUUACCAGGUCCAGACAUAGGAAGGAUUGACAGAUUGAUAGCUCUUUCUUGAUUCUGUGGGUGGUGGUGCAUGGCCGUUUUUAGUCGGUGAAGUGAUUUGUCUGCUUAAUUGCGUUAACGGACGAGACCCCAGCCUGCUAAAUAGCGCGGCCGAGCUUUGCUCGGUACGAGCUUCUUAGAGGGACCAUGAUGCGCGAUAGCACAAGGAAGUUUGGGGCAACAACAGGUCUGUGAUGCCCUUAGAUGUUCUGGGCCGCACACGGGCUACACUGGCGCCUGCAACGAGCAUAUCAGCUGGCCCGAGAGGGUCUUGGCUAAUCUUUGGAACCGGCGCCGUGCUUGGGAUUGACCACUGCAAUUGUUGGUCAUGCAACGAGGAAUGCCUUGUAAACGCGAGUCAUCAGCUCGCAUUGAAUACGUCCCUGCCCUUUGUACACACCGCCCGUCGCUCCUACCGAUGAAUGUUCCGAUGAAAUUUUCGGAGAGCGCCAGAGAACGGGGCUCUGCCUUGCAGAUCUGGAGGCUCAAAGUCACUUAAAUCUGAACAUUUCGAGGAAGGAGAAGUCGUAACAAGGUAGCCG
rnacentral:rRNA from 1 species